GUAUAGAAGGUCUAAUUUAUACCUAAAUUAAAUUCAAGAAUUUACUCCUUAUUAAAAUAUAAUUUAUAUA
rnacentral:tRNA from 1 species